AAAGUCAUGUUAAUUUGUCAAUGAAGCCAAUUAGCUCAUCAAAAGCUGGACCACGAUCAUUUUCGUUCAUAAUUUCAUUUUUCUCUCCACUAGAAUAUUCAAGAAGCAAUCUUCUUUUGGCUUCUACAAUAUUUCUUCUUUUUGAUUUCUUAUGUUGUGUAUUUUAGCUGUUUACAGCAAGGAUCUUUCGAACAAAAGCUUUAUAUGAGGAUUGGUUAUCAAUUUUAAAUAAUUAGCAAAAAGGAAGCCGUUUAUGUAAUCAGAACUAUAAAUUAUUUUAUUUAGCUUUGUCAUUUGCUACUUUUGCUAAGUAAACAGAUCAACCAACCCAUUAUAUUACGAUACUCGUAAUAAGUCACAAUAUGUCAAUUUCUUACAAUAAUUUAACUGAAUUUAUACAUAUAGGUCUAGAGUGAAAUUAGAAAAUAAUUUGCGAUCAAUACAUUACAAUAACAAAAUUUAUGUAAUGUAUUUUACUUACAUACAUAAAUCAAGGAUGGAUGCUCAUGAUUUCGUCUCUAAGA